rnacentral:lncRNA from 1 species
AUACACGCAUAUUAUAGCUUUACUCACCUACAAUGCCGGAUCAAGCGAAGGAAAGCAAGAACAGACGACGAGUUGUUUCAAAGCGAGCGACAAUCUUGUCGUC